rnacentral:lncRNA from 1 species
UGUAAUUGAAUGCAUUAGUAUUUCUUCACAGAAACAUGUCAUGUUAAGUAGGAACACGAUAAGGAACCACACAUGAGCCUGAGGCAUGUUUUGCCACAGAAAAAAAAAGGGGGCGGGGGUGGGGAUGUUUUCUUUUCGGAGCUUUAAUUUAAGAAUUCGAGAUUUGGGCCUGGAGAGAAGGUUCAUCCGUUAAGAGCACUGACUGCUUUUCCAUGGGUCCAAAGUUCAAUUCCCAGCAACCACAUGGUGGCUCACAAUCAUCUGUAAUGGGAUCCGAUCCGAUGUCCUCUUCUGGUGUGUCUGAAGGCAGCUACAGUGUUAGUAUACAUAAAGUUAAAGGAAAGGAAAAAAAAAAAAUAGAGGUUCCUGGCUGGGCAGUGGUGGCACAGGCCUUUAAUCCUAGUACAUUGGAGGCGAGGCAGGCAGACCUCUGUGAGUUCCAGGCCAGCUUGGUCUUCAGAGUGAGCUCUAGGACAACCAACACUGCACAGAGAAACCCUUGGUGCUUAAAGGAGAAAACGCUGGUGCUGAGGAGGAUCGGAGCUCUUCCUGGUAGAGGACUGUGGCUUGGGGACUUGUUUUGUUUACUAUGGACAAACAUGAAUCACUGUCAUUUUCUACCUCACAAAUUCAGUUCUUAGCUCAAUAAAAGGUGCUAGAAGAAUGAAAGGAACCAUUGGUGCCUUUUAAGGCAAAGUGAUU